GCCACCCCAGUGUGCCACUGGGGAAAAUCAUUUUUUUAUGAGUUUGAACGAAACAAAUACCCCUCCAGGUUCAAAGAUGGCUCUGAGCGUGUCACACAGAGGUCUGAAGCUCAAUCAUACAAGAUGAUUAUUGUUUUUAUUUGAAUCACAGAAACAGAAAUCCUACACUAACAAUUAUGUGUUGUUACCAUAAAAAAGAAUGACUUUUAACAAUUUUGGAUCCAGCUUUUUCUUUCUGAAAAUAGUUUGGUGUUUCUUUUCUGUUUGGAAAUUUGUGUGCGAAGAGGUGUUACUCAUAGAAAACUUUGGGGUUCAAACAAACGGAUGAUCUCUGACCCAAGAGGAUUUUGACAUUUUUUUCUGCCUGGAAUCAGUUUAAGACUCCUUGUCACUCAAAGGACUUGAGCAAACACACUGCAGGCCAAUCAUAUGCAUUCUUUGUCAUUAAACGAAGGAAGAAGUGUGUGAGCAUUAGUAUGUGCAUUGCCUGUGUGUGUCUGGAGGCGUGUAGGAAUAAUAUUUUGUGGUUUUUGCUCAGCCCCGAGAUGACUUAAUGAUGGUAUGGGUCUCUUUCUUCUGCUGGGCAGGGUUACAUUUUAAUGGGCCCUGACUGACAUGUUUUCAUUUGGCUCUAUAACCUGCUCCCAGAUACCCCCCACACUGCCCCACCCCCUUACCCAACUCCACCACUGUCAUACACAGCACCCCUCCCCGUCAAAAAUCUCCUACAAAAUGCUGCACUGUGUCAAGGUUGAUGAGUGGAGAAAAUGAGAUGGGAAAGUGAAAUGUUAGGAGUAAACACCUUGGUUCCACAUUCCACAGCAGCUGAAGAUCAUGAAUGGUUGGAGUGACGUAGCAGACAGACGUCCAGAGAUUGGGUUGACAGGCAUUAGUCCGCUGGGGAGGCCCUGUCUCGUCUCCCCACCGCGCAGCCUGGCACUGUCCCACAAGGGACAUCCUGCCACGGCAAUGCACAGACACCCUGCCAGUGCGUCUCGCCUCCCACCAGCUUCACCUUGCUCGCCCCUUCGCUCAAAUGAACUGUUAAAUAAACGGCAGGCCCUAUUCCAGAUGAAGAGGGGGUGGACGCAGCAGAGUAGAUGGCAAGGUUGGUCGGGAGAAACAAUGGAGUCGGCCCAUUUAAAGCAACCAU
rnacentral:lncRNA from 1 species